rnacentral:rRNA from 1 species
CCUACGGGAGGCAGCAGUGAGGAAUAUUGGACAAUGGGCGCAAGCCUGAUCCAGCCAUGCCGCGUGCAGGAAGAAGCAUCUAUGGUGUGUAAACUGCUUUUGUACAGGAAGAAACACUCCCUCGUGAGGGAGCUUGACGGUACUGUAAGAAUAAGGACCGGCUAACUCCGUGCCAGCAGCCGCGGUAAUACGGAGGGUCCGAGCGUUAUCCGGAAUCAUUGGGUUUAAAGGGUCCGUAGGCGGUUUAAUAAGUCAGUGGUGAAAUCUGGUCGCUCAACGAUCAAACGGCCAUUGAUACUGUUAGACUUGAAUUAUAAGGAAGUAACUAGAAUAUGUAGUGUAGCGGUGAAAUGCUUAGAUAUUACAUGGAAUACCAAUUGCGAAGGCAGGUUACUACUUAUGGAUUGACGCUGAUGGACGAAAGCGUGGGGAGCGAACAGGAUUAGAUACCCUGGUAGUCCACGCCGUAAACGAUGGAUACUAGCUGUUCGGAGCAAUCUGAGUGGCUAAGCGAAAGUGAUAAGUAUCCCACCUGGGGAGUACGUUGCAAGAAUGAAAACUCAAAUGAGUAGAGCGNGAGAGNGCGAGACGACGACGAGGGAGGAGG